GUUAAUGUUUAGCGCCUUACCUCCCAGGCAGAUGCAGUCACCUCCUUGGAUGUUCAGCUCACCUGUCCGAAGGCCGCCAUGGCUCCCUGGGGUCCGCCCUGCUCUCCGUCCCGCCUGCCGUCCUCCAGGUCGUAGGCCGUCCCGUCGGCGUCCUGCGCUCCCUCAUCUUUCACCACGACGCCCUCACCUCCGCCUCCCAACACCUGGAACAGAACACAUUAAUGGCAUUGAAAAAGAAGAACAAACAGCAUCUUUUAAUGACCUACGGUCGUCGGAGAGGUCGGUGGCGUUGCCACGGAGACUAUCCCUGCCGACGCUGUCUACGCUGCCCACGCCGGAGCUGCAGCUUGCGGACAGGCUGGCGGCUCGGGCGGCGCCCCCGUUGUCUGCCGUCUGGGCUAGCAGG